rnacentral:lncRNA from 1 species
CGGGACUUCUCAAAUUUUAAAUUUCAUCUUCAGUCGUUCUCUCUCUAUAUUCAUAUCUAGGGGAUUACAUAAAAUAGAAGAAAGGAUCUAGAUGAAACCCUAAAGUCUUCUGCUCGUUCUCUCUCUAAGUUCACUAGCUACAACAAAUCGAUAGGUGAUUUGUAAAUCGAUAACUUGUUUUGAUUUGUGUUGCCGCAGAUUAAAAUGGUUAAAGUGGCAGUCUUCUUGUUUGCUGUCAGCGUUGGUUGUUUACGGUGGUUUUGGCAAAGCUCCGGCGGUGGUUUAUAUACAUGGUGGUCACCGGAAUUUAACCUUCCUUCUGUUUAAAGAUUUUGAAGAUUACAGAGAUUUUUACGUUUUGGUUCAGAGCUCUGUAGGUUCUGUUGGGAUCCACUCCACUGGAGUUGAUAUGUGGUUUAUUGUUUGAGUGAUGGUUGGUGCAAGUUGAGAAUGAGUACGGAUCUAUAGGAAAGGCGUAUGGAGGUGCGGCUACAACUACAUGACUUAGGCUGCAAACAUGGCGGUUAAAUUGGACACCCCAUUCGUAAUGUGCAAGCAAGAUAGUACUCACAACCAAAUGUUCCAUUUUUUGCUCUACACAUUUGCAGAGAAUUUGAAAUCAUCCACGGGAUGAGACGAGACGAGAAAACAGUGGGUUAGCAUACCUUCUUUUCUUGGCGAAUAGAGAGUUUUCGAUUAUCUGUUGAAAAGGUAAAAGCUGGCGUGGAAACUCAAGUUGAUUUCGUUAAGUCACUUGCUUUUGAAGCCUGUGUUGCUUUCUUUACAGACAUACAAGAUUGCGGCCUUUGUGAACUGGCUACACGGAGAACUCUCCUUCUUGGUUGAUGAGAGGGCAGUAUUGAAGCACUUUGAAGCACUUUGACUUGCCAGAAGGGAAAGCAGGUGCACUAAGAAAAGCAAGCUUUGAAUAUCAAGACCUGAACUAUGUAUCCAAACACGUAACUUUGUUGAUGAUUCAAAUCACUCCUAUGAAUAUGCUUUAAAGAAUGUACAAGUUGCUGUAUGU